rnacentral:lncRNA from 1 species
CAAGGCCAGAAUCAGAGAGAGCAUGCCCCUCUUAACUUAAAGGGUAUGAAACAACUGAAGGAGGUUGUUUUGGCAUACGGGCCUCAUGCUCUUUUACUCUGGCCUUUUUUGAAUCCUUUGCAGCCUUGUAGGGGAAGCUGUAGCCACGCUUACUUAGAGGCUGGCUACAGGUAUUCCUGACCACGCUUGCAAGAGCAUGGUCAGCGUGAUGUAGAGUGACUGCAUUUUCUCUUUCAGUUUCACUUUGGUACUUGCUGGACAGACUGCUGCCACGCCGGCUGGCUAUGAACACCACAUCAGCUGUCAUGGUUCACUGCCUGCGCCAGAAGACAGAGAAGGAACGCUUGGAGUUCACACUGAAAUUGAAUCCUGGAUGUCAGUGGAGAUCAUGGAGAGAUGAUGGGCUUAGAAGACAAGAUGGAUGAGAAAAUGGCCAGUUCCCUCCUGAUGAAGUUCCACUCUGUCCUUACGAGGCUCUAGCCAAUCUUGGGGAUUUUUUUGGGGAACUAAGUUCAGUGGCUUGCUUUAAUCACAGACAAAUUCAAUGACUGUAAACAAUAGUGGUGGCAGGGGUUCACUCCUGACUUUUCUACUCUUCCACUUUGUACCCCAGUAUAAGAAACUCCCAAUCAUUGUUCACCAAUGAAAAACCCCCCAUGGACCCAGGACAAGUUUCCAGGAGAAAGAUUUAUUUGGAGAGUUUAUACUUAGAAAAUAUUGAUUCCAUGAGCAACAAAGGCCCUCAGAUUUCUAUUUUGGAGACCUAAGACCUAGUAGUUAGGAGGCAAAUCAGAUAGGUGGGCACUGUGAACUUUGCACACUGGAGGUUUCCUGAUUUGCUGAUGCAUGGCCUUCUGUUGUCAACAGAUCCCUGAAUAGAUAGUCUGGGUUCUGUAAAUCCAAAACAAAGCAUUUGCUGAUGGGAAAAUCUACUGAGCCAUGUCUUUUUCAUUCCAUUUCCUAGAAAAUGCUUACUUGAAUGCUAUUUGAUAGGAUACAUGGUGUCAUUACCCCAAAGAACAUGGAGACAGAGAAAAGCAUAUUUCCUCUUGAAAGAGCUGAAGAUAGAAUUCACUAUACAACAGUGUCCUAGGUGUCAAGCAAAAGGAUCUUUUCUGCCACAAACGAUGGAAAAACGUAAUUUCAGACACCUGACAUCCAAACUUAAUGACAUACUGCAAGUGGAUCUAAAGAAUCCUCUCUGGUAUAAUGACCUGGUUGGUACAGAGCCUGGGUGGUUCAUGACCCAUGAAGUCUUGUGAACUGUCUGCAGGUGGGAGUGGUCACUUUCUGAUCUGUUUCAGAACAUCUCUGAGAAUAUGAUUCCAGCAUUUAUUGAGAAGUAUUUAGGACAAACAGAAAAAAGAAAGACCUUCUCCUGGACUUGUUUGGGGAUAUAUUUAUGGGUAUUCCAUCUGCUCUCAUGUCCCCUGUCCUCAGAAAGGGAUGAGCAAAGGAGCCAAGAUGGGGCUGAAGAGACUUGCAGAAACAGUGGACCUGAAACAACUUUGGAAAGAACCAUGACCUUUGAAUGUGGGUGCCAGCUAGAAAGCCAAGACAGUCUAUGGAACCUCUAACAGUGGAGCCAGUCUUUAACCCUAAAGCACAAAUAGAUGUCGGGAGCCCAUUCCCUAUGGAGGGAUACUGUUGCAGCCCAGAUACAACAAGGAUGGCCUGGGCCCUCCCCCAAACAUUAUGACAGACUUUGAAGGUCCCUGGUGGAGGGCCUCACUGUCCCUCGGGAGGAGUUGGAGGAUGGAUUGGGGGGGUAGGUGAGGAAAAUGGGAGGAUGGGACAGUGAGGCAAUGGGGAAGAUGCAUAUGUAAAUAUGAGUGGUA